GAAAGUAGGGGAUCGUAAGACCUUGCGCUUUUGGAGUGGCCGAUGCCUGAUUAGCUAGUUGGUGGGGUAAAGGCCUACCAAGGCGACGAUCAGUAGUUGGUCUGAGAGGACGACCAGCCACACUGGGACUGAGACACGGCCCAGACUCCUACGGGAGGCAGCAGUGGGGAAUUUUGGACAAUGGGCGAAAGCCUGAUCCAGCAAUGCCGCGUGAGUGAAGAAGGCCUUCGGGUUGUAAAGCUCUUUCAGUCGAGAAGAAAAGAUUGUGAUGAAUAAUCACAGUUCAUGACGGUAUCGACAGAAGAAGCACCGGCUAACUACGUGCCAGCAGCCGCGGUAAUACGUAGGGUGCAAGCGUUAAUCGGAAUUACUGGGCGUAAAGGGUGCGCAGGCGGCUUUGUAAGUCAG
rnacentral:rRNA from 1 species